UGUCAUUCUCGUUGGAAAGAUUUAGCAAAGCAUUUCACGAAUAAGACCUUUUGUGUUGUCACACCUCUUGUCCUGUUUUUGAUCCUGCACGUUUUUUGUUUCCCGCAUAUCGCUGAUCAAAGAUCACAACGAUCUUUCGACGGCACAUUGAUGAUUAAUUUCAGGAUAGCUAUUUAUGUCUACAGUUACUGGCAACGUUAAGUUCUUCAACGAAGCAAAAGGUUUUGGUUUUAUUACUCGUGAAAGCGGCCCGGACGUCUUUGUCCAUUACAGCUCUAUUCAGGGUGGCGGUUUCAAGACUCUGGCCGAAGGCCAGGAAGUCGAGUUCAGCGUGACCCAGGGCCAGAAAGGCCCGCAGGCAGAGAACGUUGUUGCCCUGUAAAUAACAGGUAACACGUGAUUAAAAAAGGCAGCCUCAGGCUGCCUUUUUUGU
rnacentral:sRNA from 1 species